GUGAACGCUGGCGGUAGGCCUAACACAUGCAAGUCGAACGGCAGCACAGUAAGAGCUUGCUCUUACGGGUGGCGAGUGGCGGACGGGUGAGGAAUACAUCGGAAUCUACUUUUUCGUGGGGGAUAACGUAGGGAAACUUACGCUAAUACCGCAUACGACCUACGGGUGAAAGCAGGGGAUCUUCGGACCUUGCGCGAUUGAAUGAGCCGAUGUCGGAUUAGCUAGUUGGCGGGGUAAAGGCCCACCAAGGCGACGAUCCGUAGCUGGUCUGAGAGGAUGAUCAGCCACACUGGAAUUGAGACACGGUCCAGACUCCUACGGGAGGCAGCAGUGGGGAAUAUUGGACAAUGGGCGCAAGCCUGAUCCAGCCAUACCGCGUGGGUGAAGAAGGCCUUCGGGUUGUAAAGCCCUUUUGUUGGGAAAGAAAAGCAGCAGGUUAAUACCCCGCUGUUCUGACGGUACCCAAAGAAUAAGCACCGGCUAACUUCGUG
rnacentral:rRNA from 1 species